CAGCCGCCACGGGAAGACAGAGGAUGCAAGCGUUAUCCGGAAUGAUUGGGCGUAAAGGGCUCGCAGGCGGUUUCUUAAGUCUGAUGUGAAAGCCCCCGGCUCAACCGGGGAGGGUCAUUGGAAACUGGGAAACUUGAGUGCAGAAGAGGAGAGUGGAAUUCCACGUGUAGCGGUGAAAUGCGUAGAGAUGUGGAGGAACACCAGUGGCGAAGGCGACUCUCUGGUCUGUAACUGACGCUGAGGAGCGAAAGCGUGGGGAGCGAACAGGAUUAGAUACCCGCGUAGUCCCUGUCUCUUAUAC
rnacentral:rRNA from 1 species